UACAGAGACUGCAAGCGUUAUUCGGAUUCACUGGGCGUAAAGGGUGCGCAGGCGGCCAAGUGUGUGAGGCGUGAAAGCCUGGGGCUUAACUCCAGAAUUGCACCUUAAACUACAUGGCUAGAGCAUUGGAGAGGGUAGCAGAAUUCACGGUGUAGCAGUGAAAUGCGUAGAUAUCGUGAGGAAUACCAGAGGCGAAGGCGGCUACCUGGACAAUUGCUGACGCUCAGGCACGAAAGCGUGGGGAGCAAACAGG
rnacentral:rRNA from 1 species